rnacentral:sRNA from 1 species
AUCUAACUGGAGCGACAGAGAGCACGAUGGGGCACUUACAGGUGCCGGAGGCUGGCCCGGGCAGUGAGUGUGGAUGGCUUGGCAGGUGAGCCUGCCAGAGCUGGAGGACCGGCUUCAGUGUCCCAUCUGCCUGGAGGUCUUCAAGGAACCCCUGAUGCUACAGUGCGGCCACUCCUACUGCAAGGGCUGCCUGGUUUCCCUGUCCUGCCACCUGGAUGCCGAGCUGCGCUGCCCCGUGUGCCGGCAGGCGGUGGACGGCAGCAGCUCCCCGCCCAACGUCUCCCUGGCCCGGGUGAUCGAAGCCCUGAGGCUACCUGGGGACCCGGAGCCCAAGGUCUGCGUGCACCACCGGAACCCGCUCAGCCUUUUCUGCGAGAAGGACCAGGAGCUCAUCUGUGGCCUCUGCGGUCUGCUGGGCUCCCACCAACACCACCCGGUCACGCCCGUCUCCACCGUCUACAGCCGCAUGAAGGUGUUCCCGUUGCCCCCUGUUUAUUGAGAUUUUGAGAUGCUCGAUUGAUGGGUGCAUUGAUUUGCAUAACUUAGUUCCUCUCA